rnacentral:rRNA from 1 species
UACGUAGGGGGCUAGCGUUGUCCGGAAUCAUUGGGCGUAAAGCGCGUGUAGGCGGUCCGGUAAGUCCGCUGUGAAAGUCGAGGGCUCAACCCUCGAAUGCCGGUGGAUACUGUCGGGCUUGAGUACGGGAGAGGCGAGUGGAAUUCCUGGUGUAGCGGUGAAAUGCGCAGAUAUCAGGAGGAACACCGAUGGCGAAGGCAGAUCUCUGGGCCGUAACUGACGCUGAGGAGCGAAAGCAUGGGGAGCGAACAGGAUAGAA